AUUGAACGCUGGCGGCAGGCCUAACACAUGCAAGUCGAGCGGAUGAAGGGAGCUUGCUCCUGGAUUCAGCGGCGGACGGGUGAGUAAUGCCUAGGAAUCUGCCUGGUAGUGGGGGAAACGUCCGGAAACGGGCGCUAAUACCGCAUACGUCCUGAGGGAGAAAGUGGGGGAUCUUCGGACCUCACGCUAUCAGAUGAGCCUAGGUCGGAUUAGCUAGUUGGUGGGGUAAAGGCCUACCAAGGCGACGAUCCGUAACUGGUCUGAGAGGAUGAUCAGUCACACUGGAACUGAGACACGGUCCAGACUCCUACGGGAGGCAGCAGUGGGGAAUAUUGGACAAUGGGCGAAAGCCUGAUCCAGCCAUGCCGCGUGUGUGAAGAAGGUCUUCGGAUUGUAAAGCACUUUAAGUUGGGAGGAAGGGCAGUAAGUUAAUACCUUGCUGUUUUGACGUUACCAACAGAAUAAGCACCGGCUAACUUCGU
rnacentral:rRNA from 1 species